UACGGAGGGUGCAAGCGUUGUCCGGAUUUAUUGGGUUUAAAGGGUGCGUAGGCUGGUUGCCAAGUCUGUGGUGAAAUCCUCCGGCUUAACCGGAGAACUGCCGUGGAUACUGGCGACCUCGAGUGGGGUAGGGGCUUGCGGAACUGUGCGUGGAGCGGUGAAAUGCGUUGAUAUGCACAGGAACUCCGGUGGCGAAGGCGGCGAGCUGGACCCUAACUGACGCUGAGGCACGAAAGCCAGGGGAGCGAACGGG
rnacentral:rRNA from 1 species